AUUACCGAAACCCUAAUCAAUUCUCGCCUUUGAUGUUGUGAUUUUAUUUCUGGGUAAGACCAUUUCGUAUGGGGUUUGAUGUUUCGUUGUUUGACAAUUGGCAGGGAAGAGUCGCAGUGGGAGUUUCGCCAUGGCCGAAAGCUCUUUCAAGAAUGAAUAUCCUCAGGGAAUGAACCAAGCAGAAGAGUACAAUGCAGAUCCGACACCAAUGAUUGUUGAAAAUUCUGCAACCAUUGGCAUUCCU